UACAUAUUUUUUUCAUUUUUGAAUGAAUUGUGCAGCAUGUGGAGUGAGUGGCUCCUUGUAUGGGCUCAUGUUGUUGAUCGUGGGGUGCGCAUGUUGCUACUCAUGCUUCUACCGUUCAAAGUUAAGGAGCCAAUAUAACCUCUCAAAGUCACCUUGUGCCGAUUGCCUUGUUCACUUUUUCUGUGAAGGAUGCGCCUUGUGCCAGGAGUACAGAGAACUCAAAGCUCGUGGUUUCGACAUGUCUAUUGGUUGGAUUGGAAACAUGGAGCAGCAGACUCGAGGGGUGACCACCAUGCCACCGUCCAUGGCAGGAGGCAUGACUAGAUAAGCUCUAUUCAUUGCUUUUAUGUGUGCAGGGUUUGUUUAAGGGUGUGGUUUGUAUGAGGUCGUGGCCCUAAACAAUUAAAGUAGGGCGCACCUUCAAAUAAUAUUUCAGUAUCAGAAAUCUUUAUGAUGGCCUAAAAAUUUAUUUUCAUCUCUAAUUAGAAAAUUUAAAGUUAAAAAAUAAU